CAAAAUUUGAACAUUAUAAACUCUAUUUUGGUCUCCUAAUUGGUAACUUGUCCCUUCUGAUUGGCUGAGGUGGUUGUUCAGUGGAUUCCUGUCUUGGUUGGGGUGGUUCAUCACAUGGUUAUGUCCUUUCUUGACUUGGUUCUUCAGAAGGUUGUGGAUGUAAGGGGCAUUGGUUUCUGUUAUGCCCAACGAUACGACAUAUGCUGCAUUUUUUACGGUGGCCACCUUUGGUCAUUUGUGUUUCAUCCCUUCUUAGUUCCCAACUCUCCAACCUUCUUUUUUUCUUAGGUCUUCCAGGUAAUUUUCUCUUCAAUGGUGGGAGGAUGUCUGGACAGGAUGUUCUUUCCCAUAAAAGGUGCCCAUUCACUGGAAAUAUGAUAGACGCAUAGGUUUCAUCAUACGUUGACCUUCUGAACCAAAUGGGUACAAAGUCUUUUGGAUUUAAAUUUAAGAAUCUGAUUGUUGCAAUUGCAUGGCAGCAAGGGAUGCCACUAACGACCCAUUUCCUGCACGUACAGUCUUGAGUGUCGAGGUUG
rnacentral:lncRNA from 1 species